CCAAAAGAAGAAGAAGAAAGAAGCACAAGCAACGCGAGAUGUGACGUGCAUUUGUAAACAAAGGUUAGCUGGUCAGCCUGGGCAAAGGAAUGCUGUCUUAACGAAAUUAGGAUGUUGUGUGAAGUCCUGCUGUCAUCACUAUGGUUCCUGUUUGUCAUCUUCUGGGUGGAGACAAUAAGUGUUUGGCUGUUUCUGUCCAUGUUUUACCAGGACAGGGCAUUUUACCACUGGGGAGACGGGGUAUUUUCAGAUGAUCCUGGGCAGAUGAUUUACAUGUUAAGCAGGCA